rnacentral:lncRNA from 1 species
UGAGUCAAGGAGUGUACCUGAAUCAUGGGAAACGUAUCCAGAACAAGAUUAAUGGCAUCACAUGUAUUAAGUAUGAAUUGACAUUUGAGGCUGACCGAGAUUUUGGAUUUCCAGGAGCUUUUGUCAUCUGGAACCAACACAAAGACAAGUUUUUUCUUCAAUCACUGUCUCUCCAAGUUGAAUUCAAACAAAUAGUUCAUUUUGAAUGCAAUUCUUGGAUAUAUUCCAAUCAUUUAAUGCAAAAGGAAAGGAUUUUCUUCUCAAAUACUGUGAGUAAACCAUUUCUCGUAACAUGUAGUAUCUUUCAGCAACAGAUAUGUAGCUAGUGUCUUUGAUCAUCUUAUGAGUUUUAGUGUUAUCUUCCAAGCCAAACACCAAAUGGUCUGCUGCAACUGAGGAAACAAGAACUUGAUACAUUGAGAGGAGAUGGAAUUGAAGGGAGAAUUAGAGAAUGGCAUCGGGCUUAUGGCUAUGAUUUCUAUAAUGAUCUCGGUGAUCCUCAGAGAGGGGAAGGACCUAUUUUAGGAGGUUCAAUUCACUAUCCAUAUCCAAGGAGAGGAAAAACUGGUGAACCACAUAUUGACUCAGGCAAGAAAUUUUCUCCCUUCUAAUAUAACUUUUUUCUGGUCACAGAAAUCAUACGAACCUUAUUACUCUUCAAACAGAAAAUGUGAAGGAGAUGAUGUUCAAUAUGUCUACCUGCAUCCCUCCGGAUGAAAGAUUUAGCCCCCAGAAACAAUCAGAGUUUGCGAAGAAAGUGAUCCAGGCAACUUUGCACUUUGUUGGUUCUCAAACCAACCAACUCAAGUCAUUCAACAAGAUCAAAGAGCUAUUUUCGGGGAAGAAAAGCCAAGGGGUGGAAGAAUGGAUGGUAAAGAAAUUGGAAGAUCAUCUACCAAAAGAGAUUUUGAAGGAGAUUGGACAAGGAAUAAAAGAUUAUACUGCAAAGUUCCCAAUGCCUCAGUUAUUUGCAGGUGAUGCUGGUUUUAUGAAUAUAAAGGUUCUUGAAUCUUCCUUCUCCAAGACAAGUUUUGUUUCAUGUCUUGGAUAAUUUCAUGCACAGGGAACGAAUUGGCAUGGAAGGAUGAUAAGGAGUUUGGGCGCCAGAUGCUUGCAGGAAUCAAUGCAGCUGUUAUUCAGUGUUUGCAGGUAUAUAUGAUGAGUUUUAACCUCUCAAGAGAAGUGCUUUCUCAUGACGAUAGUGAAUGAAUUUUAUGAGAAGGGAGAACACAUAAAGAUCGAUCUCUCUAAGCUAGUCUCAUAUUCAAAAGAACAUCUAAGCUUUGCAACGGUACCUCCUAUAUAUGCACCAACUACCCACCCCCAAAACAAAAAACCAAUCCCCGGACUUGUUCGAAAUAAACAUAUUACCACACUAAAACGAGAACCAGAUUUUUGGUAUACUAAAGCAAACAAGAACAACUCCGCCUCAGUCCCAAACAAGUAAACUCAGCUCUCCAUUUCAUAUAAUCAUCCAACCAAUUAAAAUAAAAGUGAAAAAAGGACCCCUUUUUUCAUAUCCCCCUGAAUCCAUCUUCUUCUUUCAAGACACCUCCCUAAGCAGUUACUAAUACUUGUUUAUAUCAGAAGUCCUCCCCCAAACCAAUUCCUUCUUUAUCCUUUUUUCUUUAUUCACUAAGAGUGGCACACUCCACUCCCCCAUUUCUUCUUACCCCAAAACCUGAUUAUUAUUUUUUUCCCAUUUCUUAGAUGGCAUGAAUCUCAAAUAAAUGUCAUAUAAGAUUGUGGUUGAUGAUCCUGUGGGACAGAAAAGCAUGUCAUCGGUAAAUUUAUUUCAUUUGCUUUCUUCUCUAGUGUCUUGAUUUAAUAUUGACAAGUUACAAAAAUAAAAAAAGUUAGCAAAGGACAAAAGAAGAGAUGAAAAGAUAAAGAGUUUGUGGAGUUUCAAAGAGAUGAUACUUUGAUUGCAUAUCCUUAAUAUAUUUACUUCCCAUCAGCAAUCUGAGAUUUCAAAUAAGGUGGUCAAACCAGUUUUGUACGAGCACAUGUUUGAUAGAUUUCAUUGAAAAUAUGAAUUUUACUAAGCAACUGGGGGGGGGGGAGUAAUCUUAUAAGGAGAACCAGAAGGAGUUGGAGGAGUGGAUUUUGUUGGUGCUACACUGGUGGUAGGGUAGGUGGAGGCGGUCGGUGGGAGAAGAGAAAAAGGGAGCGAGUAGUUAAAGAGUAUAAGAAAUUGUAAAUCAAAAAAGGGCCUUGGAUUAUUGAAAUUGGUAUACAAAUAAACCUCCGUUGCCUAUUGGCUUUAUAAUACCUUUGAGUCAAUAUUACUGCUCUAUAAUAACCUUAUCACAAACAGCUCUGUUAACAUAUAAAGUUAGAGUUUUCAUUUAAUAUGUGGCAGCAUGUGAUUCGUUAAAAUUUUCAUUAAUCUAAACAAAUUAAAUUAAAUCUAAAUAUGGAUCCAACCAUUAAUUUCUACCCAAUCCAACUAGAAAACUCAUAUAAAGAGUAAAUUUAUAAACUAGGUCCAUUUUCUCUUUUCUUCUGCGAUGGGAAUUUUUCUCAUUCUUCAAGAACAUAGCUAAGAUUUUUUGAAUUUCUAAUUCUAUGUUUAAAAAGACGUUUCAUCAAAAGACUUACUCCUUGCUCUUGGUGGCUUGUUAGAUUUUUGAGAAUCAAUUUGAGGGUGCUUCCCUUUGCAGACCAAACAUUUUUCAAACCUGCA